rnacentral:rRNA from 1 species
UACGUAGGGUGCGAGCGUUAAUCGGAAUUACUGGGCGUAAAGCGUGCGCAGGCGGUUUUGUAAGCCAGAUGUGAAAUCCCCGGGCUUAACCUGGGAAUGGCAUUUGGGACUGCAAGGCUCGAGUGCGGCAGAGGAGACUGGAAUUCCAGGUGUAGCGGUGAAAUGCGUAGAUAUCUGGAGGAACACCGGUGGCGAAGGCGGCAUCCUGGACCAAUAUUGACGCUGAGGAGCGAAAGCUAGGGGAGCAAACGGG